rnacentral:rRNA from 1 species
UACGUAGGGUGCGAGCGUUGUCCGGAAUUAUUGGGCGUAAAGAGCUUGUAGGCGGUUUGUCGCGUCUGCCGUGAAAUUUCGAGGCUCAACCUCGAACUUGCGGUGGGUACGGGCAGACUAGAGUGUGGUAGGGGAGACUGGAAUUCCUGGUGUAGCGGUGAAAUGCGCAGAUAUCAGGAGGAACACCGAUGGCGAAGGCAGGUCUCUGGGCCACUACUGACGCUGAGGAGCGAAAGCGUGGGUAGCAAACAGG